CGGUAGCCAGCCUCCAAACCCUAGCCGUUUACUGCCCCUGAUCGUCGCCGAUAGAUGCUCCUUUUCAUCGCCGUUUGGCUGCUCCCUUCAUUCUCUAUUUGAGGUUCUGAUGGAGGGUGAGACUCAAGAUGUUGGUGGCUUCGAACCGGACUUUACAAAUGAAGAUUUUGCAAAGAUAAAUGCCAUAAUAAAUCUUGCAGCCACAAGUAACUUUGAAGAAAUAUCAAAGUUCUACGAAUUAAGUGAGGGCGUGAAUUAUGGUGACAAUGCUAGAGAUUCUGUGAAAAGUUUGGUUGAUCGAGGUGUUCUUACUUGAUGUACGUAGUUACUGGAAAGAGAUUUGCAGCCGUUAUGAAAAUUUUGAGGAAAAAUGCUAGAUGAUGAGUACGAAAGUAUGAAGAUCUUGUGUCGUUGCUGUUAUGAAGAUUUUGCAGCAUCAACAUUUUCAAUUGUGUGCUGUUUUUUGUUUUUGAAAG